GUAUCAGACUUCUUACAAGGUUGUUUUAACAAGUCUGAUACAAUCAUGAUAUAACAAGAAUGUUACAAGGUUGAUCACACAAGGUUGUAACAAUAUUGUUAUAUCAUGACUGUAUCGGACUUGUUGGAACAACCUUGCAACAAGUCUGAUAA
rnacentral:miRNA from 1 species